rnacentral:rRNA from 1 species
UUGCCCUAGUAACGGCGAGUGAAGCGGCAACAGCUCAAAUUUGAAAUCUGGCGUCUUUGGCGUCCGAGUUGUAAUUUGCAGAGGGCGCUUUGGCAUUGGCAGCGGUCCAAGUUCCUUGGAACAGGACGUCACAGAGGGUGAGAAUCCCGUACGUGGUCGCUAGCCUUUACCGUGUAAAGCCCCUUCGACGAGUCGAGUUGUUUGGGAAUGCAGCUCUAAAUGGGAGGUAAAUUUCUUCUAAAGCUAAAUACUGGCCAGAGACCGAUAGCGCACAAGUAGAGUGAUCGAAAGAUGAAAAGCACUUUGGAAAGAGAGUUAAAAAGCACGUGAAAUUGUUGAAAGGGAAGCGCUUGCAGCCAGACUUGCCUGUAGUUGCUCAUCCGGGUUUUUACCCGGUGCACUCUUCUAUAGGCAGGCCAGCAUCAGUUUGGGCGGUUGGAUAAAGGUCUCUGUCAUGUACCUCUCUUCGGGGAGAACUUAUAGGGGAGACGACAUGCAACCAGCCUGGACUGAGGUCCGCGCAUCUGCUAGGAUGCUGGCGUAAUGGCUGUAAGCGGCCCGUCUUGAAACACGGACCAAGGAGUCUAACAUCUAUGCGAGUGUUUGGGUGUCAAGCCCGAGCGCGUAAUGAAAGUGAACGGAGGUGGGAACCCCUCGGGGUGCACCAUCGACCGAUCCUGAUGUCUUCGGAUGGAUUUGAGUAAGAGCAUAGCUGUUGGGACCCGAAAGAUGGUGAACUAUGCUUGAAUAGGGUGAAGCCAGAGGAAACUCUGGUGGAGGCUCGCAGCGGUUCUGACGUGCAAAUCGAUCGUCAAAUUUGGGCAUAGGGGCGAAAGACUAAUCGAA